CAAAUGCAUCCCUCAGAGCUUAAUUGGAAAUAAAAUAGGAUGGAAGGUGUUAUCAGAGAGGUCAGGGAGGAAGGAAAUGCUAUCUGAUGGAUUUUACAGGGCAAUUUUGGGGUGAAGACACUGAGCAACCUCUAGAGUGUGCUGCCCAUAAGAGUUCUCCUGACAGGGAGGAGAGAGUUCCAGUCCAUUCGCACCAGUGAACUGGAUUCCUCAAGCCUCAGAAGGGCUGAGGAAGCCUAGCUCAAUCUUGCCCCCUAAAAGCAAAAUGUAAGACAGGAGUUUCAGUGAACUACAAUACACCACAGUGUUUAUUAACUCUGAAUUAGUGUGAUAAGCACAAUGCUGCAGCCACAGGAUAUGUCCCCACACUCUAAGCCUGCUCCUUCUGCUUCUUCAGCAGCUCCCUCAGCUGCUCGAUCUGGGCAGUCACGCUGCUCUUGGCAGUACCGCCCACGGCAGUGUACUGCUCCACGCUGUUGACAAUGUUGAAAACCUGGGAGACAUCGCUGGCAAACAGGGGGCUGGGGAGGCAA
rnacentral:lncRNA from 1 species